UAGGGAAUCUUCCACAAUGGACGCAAGUCUGAUGGAGCAACGCCGCGUGAGUGAAGAAGGCUUUCGGGUCGUAAAACUCUGUUAUUGAAGAAAAACGUGCGUGACAGUAACUGGUCAUGCAGUGACGGUAUUCAAUCAGAAAGUCACGGCUAACUACGUGCCAGCAGCCGCGGUAAUACGUAGGUGGCAAGCGUUGUCCGGAUUUAUUGGGCGUAAAGCGAGUGCAGGCGGUCUUUUAAGUCUGAUGUGAAAGCCUUCGGCUUAA
rnacentral:rRNA from 1 species